GCGUCCACGCCCUCGCCGAGCAGCAGCAGAGCCGCGGCCACGGCCUCGCCCUCGGUGCCCUGCGACGCCGAGCACCGCCGCGCCGAGCUCCGUCCGGCGUCCACGGCCCCGACCUCGCCAGGAGCCGCUGACCCCCUCUUCGUCGAGCACCUGACCGCUGUGGCCGCGACACGCCUCGUCCUCGACCCCGCCGCGCCGAGCUUCGACUGCGACCUUGCCCAGGAGCCCGCGGCGUCCCCAUCCUCGCCCGCGAGCUCUCCCCCGAGCCCCGUCUUCGGCCAGCACCGCGAGCACGGCGCCCCUCCGCGUCCGCGUCCUCGACCUCGCCACGACCUCGACGCCGAGCAGGAGCUCCGCACCCCCGCCGGAGCACGACGCCACGACCACGACCGUGCCGCGCCAAGCACUGCGACCCCGACCCCGACGCAGUUCUGCGCCACCCCGCGACGUCACCCACACCCUCACCACCAGCACCGGCCUCGCCCCCAAGCCUAGGGCCGCGCGCGACGCCGGCUCCGGUCACGGCCGACCUGAAGCCCGCGGCGUCCACGUCCGCGCUCAGGAGCCGCGACCACCGAGCGCGACGUCGGGCCCGACGCGUCCCCGUCCUCGCCACGGUCACCGCGUCAAGCUCUCGUCCCUGUCUUCGCCAAGCCAAACCCCCGGUGAGCUCGCCAAGACCAAAGUUUUCCCCUUCCUGCGUUCACCAAGCUGAGACCGGCCUUCGCGCCACAUUUCAUCCAUUGUCGCAGGGAAGCUUUGGUCCUGUGGUGCUUUUGCCAAAGAUGUGAUGCCUUCUCGCUGCCAGCCGCGCCUCCAGCCGAGCCGCAGCGAGCAGAAGCCAGCCAAGAGCAACAGCAAGCCCGUAGUAGAUCUUCGUCCAAACAGCAAGGUCGAACCUUGAACCUAGCCGACAUCGUCUCCGACGUUGGCAAAACCCUUGCCGUUCAUUUCGAUAUCAUACAUGCCAUGUAUCUUGCUCAUGUAUGCAUUAUGAUCUAUCUGCAUGACCAUUUGUUCAUCUAUCCAUGUCAUGCAUUUGUUACAUGAUUAUUCAUCUCAUAUCUCGUUUAAUGCGGGACCUAUCUUCGUCUAUAUCUCUGCCUGUGCCGUGCCUUCGUGCCGGUCUAUUUAUCUAUCUCUAUCUCUUUUGGUCGCUAUGGAAAUGUGCUACUCCGAGUCGUCGUCUUGUUAGUAUUGCAAUUUGUGCUUUUGUUCUUGUCGUUGUGGACCGUGCCGUCGAGCCGGUUGAGAGAGUGACGUGUUUGGAUGUUGCGAUCGCGAGUUCGUCUCGCCACGGCCGUAAUGCCGAGCAUGUCCCUUCUCUCGUAUUUCUGUUGUUCCUUCUUUUGUUAUUUGCAUGCCUGAGGACCGAGCCUUCGAGCCGGUUAGGGAAAAUGGUGGAGCGUUCGAUCAUUUCGAUCGUGGGUUCGUCCCGCCGUGAUCGCGAUGCCGAGCGUAACUCAUUCCCUGUGAUUAGUUGACUUCGCUGCGCUACGGUCGUUAGCUCCUAUUCCCGUCCCUCGAACGUGGUCAUCGUGGACUCGAUGUCGUUAACGACGCGGUUCUUACCCGCACACUCGAGACCUAAAUGACCUAGUCUAGUGGGAUACGAAUUAGGGGACAACCUUCGUAGAACUAUCGGAGAAACUCGUUAGGUGAAGCUCAUGGCCGCGAGUCCACCUUGCCAUGGCCAUUGGGCUUUACCCCAUUUCUCCCGUGUUUAUCCUAACCACCUCGUAUGCUUGUACCACUUCGACUAUAGCAUUCCCUCGGACCUAGCGGUGACAACCACAUCGCUAUGGGCCUUAGGAAUAGCCUUGUGCUGAUUUAGAUGCACAGUCAUGGUGCCCUACGAGUGGGUUGGGAUCGUGGGGUCGUAUUCCUUUUAUCCAACCGUCGUUGUUCCAUGAUGAGUUGGUCGAAAGAGUAUGGACUCCAUUCUUCUUCUCUCUUGUUCUCAAUCCCGUCGAUCCAGUAAGAUGGGGAUUAAGCCCCUUUUGCUUGUUUGAUGUUUUGUUUCCAAUCCCGCGAUUCCCGCCGUUGCUAUGGCGAGCGGAUCAAAGGAAGGUGAAUCCCGUGUCUUUUCCCGCCUUUUUGGUUCUUCGUGCUUAAACUCUUGUAUGCUUGUACCUAUAUCGAUCGUAGCAUUUCUUUGGUUCUUGUGGUGACAACCGCACCGCAAAGAACCUUAGUGAUGUCAUAGUGCAUUUAGUGCACCUAGGUUGUGGUACCCUACAAGUGGUUUGAGUACUCGUGUUCCUUAUGUGUCACUCUUUCUAAUCCCCCGUCUCUUACCAUGGCGAGUGGAUGGGAAGAAGUAGACCACUCCCCUUUUCUUCUCUCCUUGUUCCACCCUCUCUUGGCUCUCGCCAACUACAAUGGCGUAUGGAUUGAGAGAGACCGGAACUUCGCGUGCUCAUAGUCUUUUCGAUUCCUGUCGAUCUCCGUGACGCUUGGAUCGAAGAGCCACUAGCUAUGGUGUUUGCUUAUGAUAAGUUAGGGUCUAAGCCAAUUAUUAAAGUCGUACAGGUUGACUUAGUCGACCCAGGAAGUACCGGCUAGGCUAAGACUCCAGCUUGUACUUAGUGAACAACCAUUCCCAUUUCUUUUAGCCCAAAGAUCGGACAUCCGCCGAGAGGGCUAAGCCGUUUUCCUUUCGUUGCUCUUUUAGUGUAGUUGUUCCUCAGUGUUAUGUCGUCUCUUUUUGUAGUCUUUCGAGGUCUAGUGGUUUGAUUGUUUUGCCUUGUUUGUCGCUUUCGAGGUAGUCGCUUCGAGGUUAGCGUUGAUCGGACCAGGACCAGUUGAAGGAAGAACAUGCGGAAAGGAGGAUCUUGGAUGAGUACAACUACAAGUGAACUGAGGAUCUUGGAAAUGUCACUCGACAGGUGCCACGUCCCACCCAACCUCGUAGAAUCCUAUUAGACAUGCAAUAUUACAGAUGCUAGUGCUUUACUUUUAUGCAAAUGAACUGUGAUAGGUUGCAUGGUAGAAAUGCUUGUGAGCCAUUGCCUUGUUGCAACCUAUAACCCUCGCACACCCGCUGUUAGGUUAGAUGCUUGCAUACUACUUGCUACUGCUUCUACUUCGCAUUAUAUCUGUGAUGUGAUGCAAUGUGGGAGAUUGGAUGUGAGUGGAUAAGGCACGUGGUGCCAAUAAAUGGAUAAAGAAAUGGAUAAUGGAUUUGGGGAGAUCUUGGCGUGUGUCUUGGGUGUGUGGUGAGGGUCGAGUCGACCGAACAGGAUCUACGACGAGUCUUGGGACAAGUCUUGCCGGAGGACGCUACCUGGGCGUUCUCCAUGAGAGUUACCUGUGGCGGGUACAUGUGACAGGGAGAGGUCCCGGAGUGGAGUGUCUUCGUGGGACGAAGCGCCGGGAUGGGAGGUGCUGUUUAGCACGGGGUAGCCGGAUGUCCUGUCGAGCGGGGCAUCGGUUGGCCCCUCGUGAAGAUGUCCUGUUUGGUCACCCUAAGGACUGAGAUGUUCUGUGGACCGGGUCUUAGGAAGCCUUACACGCCACUCGCCUUAUUAUGGUGCGGGACGGAUGUACGACCAGCUAGUGCGGUGCCACUACUACUAGGUUGUUAGCGGAUAGUGUAGGGAGGUACGGGCAUGAGGACCCACACCCUCCUAAGACAGCGUAGUGACCUUUGGGGCCCGGUACUACGCCUCACAGUCUCAGCAUGCCGGUGGUACUCCGGUAUGGUCCCAGUUCUGAGUGGUAGGGUGGCAUCGUAUUUAGUUGGGAGGCAGCUCGGAAUCAGCCUAGACGGGGGCCACCGUCGAUGAUGGUGAUCUUGUGGUUAGUGUAAACCUCUACAGAGUUUGGUUGAUCGAUCGAUACAUAUGCCGAUUCGUCGGCUAUGGACCUUUCCUAAGUACAGCUUCACUUGACUAGAGAGAGAGGAGUCCUUUCUACCUUCCCCUGGGUUUGUGUUGGAUCCGGCGUUGGCCGUUGAGGCAAGGCACGAGCGGGAGUCGUACUUGCCGCCUAGAGAGUGAGAGUGUGGUGAGAUGUGUGUGAUGGAUGGAUGGAUGUGUGGUUGAGAUGGAUUAAAACCUGAUGAAUUAUUAUUAUUAAAUAUUGAUGAACUUGCAUAGGGAAAACUACAGCCAUAUAUAUAUAGGCCUCUUGAUCUACCCUUUGCAUUCCACUUACCACAAAGCUACGCAAAAGCAUAGGGUGGGAGCCAGUGGCCAGUACAAAUCGUACUGAAAAUUGUUCGGCAGGUUUUGAACGUGGUCUAUGGCGAUAACUAUGGAGAAUAGAAGGAUUAGGUGGUCUCGUUCCUGCGCUCAAGUUUGGUUCGGAGAUGAAGGCUACGCCCGCUGAUAAACUACGCCGACUCUGAUGAUUGCCCGUGAAGGAGGAGACUUCACCGAUGACGCGCUAUAUCGACUCUGAUAAAGACCCGUGUGUGUUUUCGCUAGAAAAACGAUGUAAUAGGCUUGUCGACCAAGUGUUGUAAAGCAAAUGUGUUGUAAUCUUGUUUCUCACGAUGUAUGACUACGAUAACAGCUGAUAUAUGAUAAUGCGAUGGUUCAAAUUUUUGAAUUAUCACAUUAUAAUUCGAAUCUGUGGAUUUUUCGCUUUGUGGAAAAAUCUAGGUCGUUUCAGUUGGUAUCAGAGCCAUACUUGACCCUAGGACGAGACCCUUAGUACCAAACACUAGUUUAGAAGCCAAACAUUCUAUCUUUUGUAGAGUUAUAGAUGCUAACACUUGUUUUCCCCCUCCGCCUUGAAUUCUGCUGCUAACUGACCUCCCUGUUUCAUAAAGUUGACCGUUGUAAUCUUUUCCUAUACCCGCCCACGCUAGAUCGAUAGUCGUGUGAGACUUUGAAGGUCUGUGAGUCGCCUCAAGUCAACACUAUGCAUUAGGAGUUGUAAUGCUGUUUGAGUGCUUGGAUCUUAUGUUGUUGUGUUUCUUCGGCUUCUUGUUGUCUAAGUGUAGGUCAUAGAACCUGUUUUAUGCGAGAAAGACUCUGGAUCCCGUCCAACCUAGUCGGCUAAACCUAAGACCGUCCGAGACUAGAUAGGUGAUCCUGGCUAACAGAGCUGAAAAAGGGUAUAAAGCUGCUGCAUUAUGUCUUGCCCAUCUAUUUCAAAGCUGUUUUUGGCUUCCAACUAAACUUGUCUUCAAAAUUGCCCCUUAGGUUGAAAAAAAAAUUUCUCUCCUUUUUGGUUAAAAUAUUUCCCCUUUUUAACAAAAGCAUCUCUACUUCAAAUGGAAAAGUGUUUCAAAACUCUCUCGAUAUCUUCCCUUUUUACAAAUAAAGCAAUUUUAACUCCUUUCUCAACUUAAUUUUAUUCAAAAGCUAUUUAUGAAAUGAUUUAAAAAAAAGUCACCUUGAAAAAGGUAUGACAAACCAUCUUCUGAAAAACAAAAGUCUUGCUUUUUCAUGUUUCCAAACCAAAGACUUUGGCUUACUUUUGUUUUAAAGGUCUUUGAUUUUAUCUCAAGAGCCAAAUUCCUUUUUAAAAAAAAAAUCAAACUUGUCUUAAAAGAAAAAGGAAUUGCUAGUGAUUUAUUAAACAAAAACCAUUGCGAAAAGAUUUUUGUUUGCGGCCUUCCAAGAGUUUAGCAAAAACAAAAUGAACUUACAAGUUUUAAAAGAAAACGCUCUUGUUGUCAAGACUUUAUCUUUCAAAAUGAGAAAUGAUUUCUAGUCAUUUUCAAAACUAGUUUGUUUAAUUCAAAUAAAUAAAUUAAAAAAAGGGGCAACGCCUUGUAUUUGAAAGCUAAAAGAGUUUCAAAAUCUCUUGAUUUGAAAUCUUUUAUAACAAAAUCUUCAAACGAUUUGGUUUUCAAAACUUGCAUUGAUUUCAACCCCCUUCAAAAGCUCUCUUCAAUUUCAAGCCUCAAAAAAAACUGACUUUGUAAAAGCGCUCUCACUCUAUUUUUGAAACCUGUUUUUCCGAAAAACAUUCCUUUCAAAAGCUUUUUGCAAAAAGUGAUGCAUGAAAAACAGCUGUGAAAGCCAACAACCCUAGCAACCCUAAGCUCGCCAUACCCCUCCUUUGACCGGAUGCUAGUUCUUGGAAGAGUAUCAUGCCAGUAAACAAAGAGUUUUGAGCCAGAAGAGCUAGACAACUAACAAUAGUCUCAUCUUCAAGAGCCAGAUGUACAUAAACCAGAUGAGGUUCUUGGAUACCCAUCGCCUCGGUGUAAGAAUUUGGAUACCCAACACCCACGACUGAGCCUUGGAUACACCCAGAACAUGACUCACUCCCAUUUUGGAAAAGGUUUGUGGAGCGGUCAUACUGAAAGUGAAACAACUCAGAAGUAAGAAGAACUUCGGGAAUAGCACCCUUGCUUCUUCAUCGACCGGGCAACGCCUAAAAUCUCGGGGACGAGAUUCCUGUAAGGAGGGUGGACUGUAACAUCCCGGAUUUUUACGUAAACCAAAAAUACGAGCUUUUUAAAAUUUUUCCUGUAAUCGUGUGAAGCAUAUAGUUUUUAGAUCUAAAUCGAUCCUAACCCGCUAACAAAUCGUGGCAUACAUAUAGAUUUGUUUCUAGGUGAGUGCUUUUGUUCGUGAGUCGGUUUGGAGUUUAGUCUUGUUUAGGGUUUUGAGUUUCUUUUGGAGUGCACAAAUCCAUAGCAAAGUCUUCCUAAAUCUUUGUGGAGCCUACCUCAAAGGCGAAGCGAAUCCCUUCUCAACUUUUUGUUGGAGUACGUCUCAAACUCCAUCGGAUUUUAUCCGAUCUCCUUUUGUUUUCAUUCCUUGUGUUUAAUCAAAAAUGGAAAACCCCUUUCUUUUCCCUUGGGCCGAAUUUCUUUUCUUCUCCCAUUUGGCCCAACUCGCGCAGGAGCCUUGCCAAGCCCAGCAGCCGGCCCACCCGAAACCCCCGCGCCCCCCCUCCUGAACCACCUAGCUCAGCCUGGGCUCCCUUUCCUCCCCUCUCGCGUGGCCCACCUUGCCCUAGGCCCAUCCCGCGCACUAAGGCCUAGUCGGCUUCUCCUCCCCUCCCGCGUGGCCCACCUCGCCCCGGCCCAAGGCCCAGCCGCGAGCCUCCUCCUCCCCUGCGCCCAACCCUAGAGUGGGGAGCGCCUGCUCCCCAGGACAGCCGCCGCCGCCGCCUGAUGCUGCGCCCGCGCCUGCCCUCUCUCCUCGGCGUUCGUGCCGAUGCGCGCCGCGUGUCCUGCUCGCGGCACGGACGUCGGAGAUGGCCGCUUCCGCCCCGAAGCCCUAGCGCCCGCGCUAUAAGAACCGAGCCGCCAGCCGCCGCCCUUCUCCCCCGCGCAGCCGCCGCUCUGCUUGCGCGCGCCCCUGCACCCUCAGCGCCGCGACGCGCACACGCCCGAGCCCCGUGCGCGCCUGCCCUCUCUCCUCGGCGCGCGCCCGCAUCCACGGGCCUCGCCCUGAUGCUGCCCGCCGAGCCGCCGCCGCGACGCACCCGCGCGCCCGAGCACCCCGACGCGUCCACGCCCUCGCCGAGCAGCAGCAGAGCCGCGGCCACGGCCUCGCCCUCGGUGCCCUGCGACGCCGAGCACCGCCGCGCCGAGCUCCGUCCGGCGUCCAUGGCCCCGACCUCGCCAGGAGCCGCUGACCCCCUCUUCGUCGAGCACCUGACCGCCGUGGCCGCGACACGCCUCGUCCUCGACCCCGCCGCGCCGAGCUUCGACUGCGACCUUGCCCAGGAGCCCGCGGCGUCCCCAUCCUCGCCCGCGAGCUCUCCCUCGAGCCCCGUCUUCGGCCAGCACCGCGAGCACGGCGCCCCUCCGCGUCCGCGUCCUCGAC
rnacentral:lncRNA from 1 species